rnacentral:tRNA from 2 species
GGAUCAUUGGCGCAAUGGUUAGCGCAUCCGGCUCAUAACCGGACGGUUCAGAGUUCGAGUCUCUGAUGAUCCA